rnacentral:rRNA from 1 species
AUGAACGCCAUGUGGACACUCUUUGAUAUGUUCUGGCACAAAGAGCCAGACAUCAAGUACUACAUGUGCACAAUCAACAAAACAUUUGCCAAGCCGGGCCAGUAUUUUCAGGUACACUAUACUAAAGAGAACCUGCUGGACUACAUUGAUCCACACAAUGAUACACUCAUGGUCAGACUUGCAAAUGGCCAUCUGCCGCCGAAUGUCGCAUUAUGCUAG